AGUUACGCGUAAUAUAACCGUUUUUUUAUGUAACUUAUAAAUCGUUAUUUUACAAUCCACAUCACUAAUUAUACCGCAUCAUUAAAUCCGCUGAGAAAAUGUAUGCAGGUUUGUAUGCUAAUUAACUAACGCGUUUUUUAACACCGAAGAUAUCAAGGCUGACACCUCAAGAUUUUGUUCCAUUCAAAAUGAUCACUUCGAUGGUACUCUUAGCAAUUGGUAGUGCGCGAUGGAUGACAUCGGCCCACUCGUUUAGGGUUGCGAAUAAAAUUGCCUUGGUGACGGGUGGCACCAGAGGCAUCGGGUUUGAUGUCGCGGGUGAACUUUUGAAAAACGGCGCCAAGGGGGUUAGUUUGGUGGCGGUUAACGCCAACAGAGGUCGUGAUCAAUAAUGCUGGCAUUUCCAAUGAAACGAACUGGAAGGGUGUAAUCGACACGAACGUGUACGGUACUCUGCAGGGAACUCUUCUGGGUUUUCAAUACACCAUCACGCGGUUCGCGUUGUUAGAGUCUGUCCGGGACCGACCAAGACGCAACUACUCAGUGAUGUCGAGACGCUUACCAAUACUCUGGCUCCUAACACGUCGGCGUUAACAACCGAAUUUCUAAGUCGGUUAGCGUUCCAGUCGACAAGGCACGUUGCAAAAACUAUUUGUGCCGUUAUCAAGAAUGGAAGUAACGGUAGCAUCUGGGUAAUCGAUGGUGAUGGUAAUCCGUCCUUUGAGGUGGAGUUUCCUGGAGCGAAGGCUAUGAAAAAACCCAACUGAAUGUACCUGGAGGCUGUCAUGACCGUGUAAUAGAAUAACACCAUCUUCUAAGUUACAAGAGGCACACAGGAAUUAUUUUUACUCUUCGAUUUUGUUUAUCUCUAAUCCAAACUGUGUUUUUGUAAAACAACUAUCUAGCAGUUUACCUCGAACCUUAAAGGUUUGAAGUUCAGAUUGAAGUGAGGUGGGGGAAGAUGUAUAACCAAAUUUGCAGCGUAUUGUUUUAAAAUUGCAGCGCAUUGUUCCAUUUUUGCUUGCGAUUUGUUUCCAAUACUGGCGUUUGUUUAUGAAUAAAGCUUUGGCUUAAGUUGACGAGAA